rnacentral:rRNA from 1 species
GGGGAUAACGUAGGGAAACGUACGCUAAUACCGCAUACGUCCUAUGGGAGAAAGCGGGGGACCGAAAGGCCUCGCGCGGUUGGACGAACCGAUGUGCGAUUAGCUAGUUGGUAGGGUAAUGGCCUACCAAGGCGACGAUCGCUAGCUGGUCUGAGAGGAUGAUCAGCCACACUGGAACUGAGACACGGUCCAGACUCCUACGGGAGGCAGCAGUGGGGAAUAUUGGACAAUGGGCGCAAGCCUGAUCCAGCAAUGCCGCGUGUGUGAAGAAGGCCUUCGGGUUGUAAAGCACUUUUAUCAGGAGCGAAAUACUACUGGCUAAUAACCGGUGGGGCUGACGGUACCUGAGGAAUAAGCACCGGCUAACUUCGUGCCAGCAGCCGCGGUAAUACGAAGGGUGCAAGCGUUAAUCGGAAUUACUGGGCGUAAAGCGUGCGUAGGCGGUUAUUUAAGUCUGUUGUGAAAUCCCCGGGCUCAACCUGGGAAUGGCAAUGGAUACUGGAUAGCUAGAGUGUGAUAGAGGAUGGUGGAAUUCCCGGUGUAGCGGUGAAAUGCGUAGAGAUCGGGAGGAACAUCAGUGGCGAAGGCGGCCAUCUGGAUCA